ACGAACGCUGGCGGCGUGCUUAACACAUGCAAGUCGAACGCUGAAGCUCUAGCUUGCUGGGGUGGAUGAGUGGCGAACGGGUGAGUAACACGUGAGUAACCUGCCCAUGUCUCUGGGAUAAGCGCUGGAAACGGCGUCUAAUACUGGAUAUGACCCAUCACCGCAUGGUGUGUGGGUGGAAAGAUUUAUCGGAGAUGGAUGGACUCGCGGCCUAUCAGCUAGAUGGUGAGGUAAUGGCUCACCAUGGCGACGACGGGUAGCCGGCCUGAGAGGGUGACCGGCCACACUGGGACUGAGACACGGCCCAGACUCCUACGGGAGGCAGCAGUGGGGAAUAUUGCACAAUGGGCGCAAGCCUGAUGCAGCAACGCCGCGUGAGGGAUGACGGCCUUCGGGUUGUAAACCUCUUUUAGUAGGGAAGAAGCGUAAGUGACGGUACCUACAGAAAAAGCACCGGCUAACUACGU
rnacentral:rRNA from 1 species